rnacentral:rRNA from 1 species
AUUGAACGCUGGCGGCAGGCCUAACACAUGCAAGUCGAGCGAGCGGCGGGCGGGUGAGUAAUGUGUGGGAAACUCCCUCAUGGGGGGGGAUAACAACUGGAGAAGCUGGCGAAUAUCGCAUAUCAUAAGAUGUGUCCCCAUGGGGUUAGCGGGUAGGUGGGGUAAAGGCUCACCUAGGCGACGAGCCCUCGCUGGUCUGAGAGGAUGACCAGCCACACUGGAACUGAGACACGGUCCAGACUCCUACGGGAGGCAGCAGUGGGGAAUAUUGCACAAUGGGCGCAAGCCUGAUGCAGCCAUGCCGCGUGUGUGAAGAAGGCCUUCGGGUUGUAAAGCACUUUCAGCGGGGAGGCGUUACCCGCAGAAGAAGCACCGGCUAACUCCGUGCCAGCCGCCGCGGUAAUUC